rnacentral:rRNA from 1 species
GAUGAACGCUGGCGGCGUGCCUAAUACAUGCAAGUCGAGCGAACGGACGAUAAGCUUGCUUUUCUGAUGUUAGCGGCGGACGGGUGAGUAACACGUGGAUAACCUACCUAUAAGACUGGGAUAACUUCGGGAAACCGGAGCUAAUACCGGAUAAUAUUUUGAACCGCAUGGUUCAAAAGUGAAAGACGGUCUUGCUGUCACUUAUAGAUGGAUCCGCGCUGCAUUAGCUAGUUGGUAAGGUAACGGCUUACCAAGGCAACGAUGCAUAGCCGACCUGAGAGGGUGAUCAGCCACACUGGAACUGAGACACGGUCCAGACUCCUACGGGAGGCAGCAGUAGGGAAUCUUCCGCAAUGGGCGAAAGCCUGACGGAGCAACGCCGCGUGAGUGAUGAAGGUCUUCGGAUCGUAAAACUCUGUUAUUAGGGAAGAACAUAUGUGUAAGUAACUGUGCACAUCUUGACGGUACCUAAUCAGAAAGCAACGGCUAACUACGUG